rnacentral:rRNA from 1 species
UACGGGGGGAGCAAGCGUUGUUCGGAUUUACUGGGCGUAAAGGGCGCGCAGGCGGUCGUUCAAGUCGAGUGUGAAAGCCCCCGGCUCAACUGGGGAGGGUCACUCGAUACUGAUCGACUCGAAGGCAGAAGAGGGAAGCGGAAUUCCCGGUGUAGUGGUGAAAUGCGUAGAUAUCGGGAGGAACACCAGUGGCGAAGGCGGCUUUCUGGUCUGCUCUUGACGCUGAGGCGCGAAAGCUAGGGUAGCAAACGGG